CUGGCGGCGUGCCCAACACAUGCAAGUCGAACGGGGUUAUGUUGAUUAAUCUUCGGAAGCGUUGAUAUAACUUAGUGGCGGACGGGUGAGUAACACGUGAGCAACCUGUCUUUCAGAGGGGAUACCGUUUGGAAACGAACGUUAAUACCGCAUAACGUAUUGGGACCGCAUGAUCCUGAUACCAAAGGAGCGAUCCGCUGAAAAGAUGGGCUCGCGGCUGAUUAGAUAGUUGGUGGGGUAACGGCCUACCAAGUCAACGAUCAGUAGCCGGACUGAGAGGUUGAACGGCCACAUUGGGACUGAGACACGGCCCAGACUCCUACGGGAGGCAGCAGUGGGGAGUAUUGCGCAAUGGGGGCAACCCUGAACCGCAGCAACGCCGCGUGUGGGAAGAAGGUCUUCGGAUUGUAAACCAUUGUCUUCGGUGACGAUAAUGACGGUAGCCGAGGAGGAAGCUCCGGCUAACUACGUGCCAGCCGCCGC
rnacentral:rRNA from 1 species